GGGUUGUGAGGUUAAGCGACUAAGCGUACACGGUGGAUGCCCUGGCAGUCAGAGGCGAUGAAGGGCGUGCUAAUCUGCGAUAAGCGCCGGUAAGGUGAUAUGAACCGUUAUAACCGGCGAUACCCGAAUGGGGAAACCCAGUGUGAUUCGUCACACUAUCAUUAACUGAAUCCAUAGGUUAAUGAGGCGAACCGGGGGAACUGAAACAUCUAAGUACCCCGAGGAAAAGAAAUCAACCGAGAUUCCCCCAGUAGCGGCGAGCGAACGGGGAGGAGCCCAGAGCCUGAAUCAGCAUGUGUGUUAGUGGAAGCGUCUGGAAAGGCGCGCGAUACAGGGUGACAGCCCCGUACACAAAAGCGCAUGUGCUGUGAGCUCGAUGAGUAGGGCGGGACACGUGGUAUCCUGUCUGAAUAUGGGGGGACCAUCCUCCAAGGCUAAAUACUCCUGACUGACCGAUAGUGAACCAGUACCGUGAGGGAAAGGCGAAAAGAACCCCGGCGAGGGGAGUGAAAAAGAACCUGAAACCGUGUACGUACAAGCAGUGGGAGCCCCACCACUAAGCCAGUGGUGAACUCCACAUACGCAUCCUUUGCUGAGGAUACGGUUAACGGAGCGAAAGCGACGUUCAACCUCAAAAGAAGCAGAGGGGGCUUAGUGGUGGGGUGACUGCGUACCUUUUGUAUAAUGGGUCAGCGACUUAUAUUCUGUAGCAAGGUUAACCGCAUAGGGGAGCCGGAGGGAAACCGAGUCUUAAUUGGGCGUUAAGUUGCAGGGUAUAGACCCGAAACCCGGUGAUCUAGCCAUGGGCAGGUUGAAGGUUGGGUAACACUAACUGGAGGACCGAACCGACUAAUGUUGAAAAAUUAGCGGAUGACCUGUGGCUGGGGGUGAAAGGCCAAUCAAACCGGGAGAUAGCUGGUUCUCCCCGAAAGCUAUUUAGGUAGCGCCUCGUGAAUUCAUCUCCGGGGGUAGAGCACUGUUUCGGCUAGGGGGCCAUCCCGGCUUACCAACCCGAUGCAAACUGCGAAUACCGGAGAAUGUUAUCACGGGAGACACACGGCGGGUGCUAACGUCCGUCGUGAAGAGGGAAACAACCCAGACCGCCAGCUAAGGUCCCAAAGUCAUGGUUAAGUGGGAAACGAUGUGGGAAGGCCCAGACAGCCAGGAUGUUGGCUUAGAAGCAGCCAUCAUUUAAAGAAAGCGUAAUAGCUCACUGGUCGAGUCGGCCUGCGCGGAAGAUGUAACGGGGCUAAACCAUGCACCGAAGCUGCGGCAGCGACGCUUAUGCGUUGUUGGGUAGGGGAGCGUUCUGUAAGCCUGUGAAGGUGUGUCGUGAGGCAUGCUGGAGGUAUCAGAAGUGCGAAUGCUGACAUAAGUAACGAUAAAGCGGGUGAAAAGCCCGCUCGCCGGAAGACCAAGGGUUCCUGUCCAACGUUAAUCGGGGCAGGGUGAGUCGACCCCUAAGGCGAGGCCGAAAGGCGUAGUCGAUGGGAAACGGGUUAAUAUUCCCGUACUUGGUGUUACUGCGAAGGGGGGACGGAGAAGGCUAUGUUGGCCGGGCGACGGUUGUCCCGGUUUAAGCGUGUAGGUGUGUGUUCCAGGUAAAUCCGGUUCACUUUAACACUGAGGCGUGACGACGAGGCACUACGGUGCUGAAGCAACAAAUGCCCUGCUUCCAGGAAAAGCCUCUAAGCAUCAGGUAACAUCAAAUCGUACCCCAAACCGACACAGGUGGUCAGGUAGAGAAUACCAAGGCGCUUGAGAGAACUCGGGUGAAGGAACUAGGCAAAAUGGUGCCGUAACUUCGGGAGAAGGCACGCUGACACGUAGGUGAAGUGAUUUACUCACGGAGCUGAAGUCAGUCGAAGAUACCAGCUGGCUGCAACUGUUUAUUAAAAACACAGCACUGUGCAAACACGAAAGUGGACGUAUACGGUGUGACGCCUGCCCGGUGCCGGAAGGUUAAUUGAUGGGGUCAGCGCAAGCGAAGCUCCUGAUCGAAGCCCCGGUAAACGGCGGCCGUAACUAUAACGGUCCUAAGGUAGCGAAAUUCCUUGUCGGGUAAGUUCCGACCUGCACGAAUGGCGUAAUGAUGGCCAGGCUGUCUCCACCCGAGACUCAGUGAAAUUGAACUCGCUGUGAAGAUGCAGUGUACCCGCGGCAAGACGGAAAGACCCCGUGAACCUUUACUAUAGCUUGACACUGAACAUUGAGCCUUGAUGUGUAGGAUAGGUGGGAGGCUUUGAAGUGUGGACGCCAGUCUGCAUGGAGCCGACCUUGAAAUACCACCCUUUAAUGUUUGAUGUUCUAACGUGGACCCGUUACCCGGGUUGCGGACAGUGUCUGGUGGGUAGUUUGACUGGGGCGGUCUCCUCCUAAAGAGUAACGGAGGAGCACGAAGGUUGGCUAAUCCUGGUCGGACAUCAGGAGGUUAGUGCAAUGGCAUAAGCCAGCUUGACUGCGAGCGUGACGGCGCGAGCAGGUGCGAAAGCAGGUCAUAGUGAUCCGGUGGUUCUGAAUGGAAGGGCCAUCGCUCAACGGAUAAAAGGUACUCCGGGGAUAACAGGCUGAUACCGCCCAAGAGUUCAUAUCGACGGCGGUGUUUGGCACCUCGAUGUCGGCUCAUCACAUCCUGGGGCUGAAGUAGGUCCCAAGGGUAUGGCUGUUCGCCAUUUAAAGUGGUACGCGAGCUGGGUUUAGAACGUCGUGAGACAGUUCGGUCCCUAUCUGCCGUGGGCGCUGGAGAACUGAGGGGGGCUGCUCCUAGUACGAGAGGACCGGAGUGGACGCAUCACUGGUGUUCGGGUUGUCAUGCCAAUGGCACUGCCCGGUAGCUAAAUGCGGAAGAGAUAAGUGCUGAAAGCAUCUAAGCACGAAACUUGCCCCGAGAUGAGUUCUCCCUGAGACUUAAAGUCUCCUGAAGGAACGUUGAAGACGACGACGUUGAUAGGCCGGGUGUGUAAGCGCAGCGAUGCGUUGAGCUAACCGGUACUAAUGAACCGUGAGGCUUAACCUUACAACGCCGAAGCUGUU
rnacentral:rRNA from 1 species